UGUUUGCCAGCUCUGAGCCGGUGCCAGGAUUCCAAGGGGAUACCCUGCAACUUGCAUUUAUUGACCUCAGACAACUCCUCGACCUGUUUAUGGUUUGGGAUUGGUCUACUUACCUAGCUGAUUAUGGUCAGCCAGCGUCUAAGUACCUUCGGGUGAAUCCAAACACAGCCCUUACUCUUUUGGAGAAGAUGAAGGAUACUAGCAAAAAGAACAAUAUAUUUGCUCAAUUCAGGAAGAAUGAUCGAGACAAACAGAAGUUGAUAGAGACAGUUGUGAAACAGCUGAGAAGUUUGGUGAAUGGUAUGUCUCAACACACAUAGCCUUCACAUCGCUUGCACUCAGUGAUGCCAAAUCUGUGACUCACUGUUGAUCUCUAACGGGCACUGGUCAUGAUACAGAAAAUUGUUUGCAGAAUUAAAAAAUACAAUAGAGAAAAGACACUUGAUGAGAGCUUAGAAACAAGAAAGAAUUAUAAAUAUCAUUUGUAUCGAUUUUUAAAUAAUUGAAUACUAUUUUAUAUAUGGAAAAUGUGACAAUUUUUUUCACUUCUAGGGAAAAAAGGCAAAACUGUAAUAUAUAAAUCAGGUCAAAAAUUGUACAUGAAACUGAUUGUGUAAAUACAUUAGAAGAACUUAUGCCUCUAUAGGUGUUUUUUCUAUUUAGACUUCAAUGAUUGUUCUGGUUGUUUUUUUUUCUUCCCAGUAUCUGGUUUUGGAAUGCAAUCAUGUAUGACAUUUCCCUGACAUUUUCUGACUUUUAGCUUUAAUUUUCACCUCACUAGUACUAAAUUGUCUAAUUCUGCUGAUUUUUAGGGAGGAAAUAGACAAAUAUGUAAAGGAACCUGAAAUUGAACUUAACCCAAUAAGAAUGUGAAUUACUUGUUCUACUUGGGUGGUUUAAUCUGAAUAUGAAGAAAAGGUAUUUGGAUUUUCUGAAGAUGCAGUGUUGUUUCUGUUCAGCAGGGUUAAUAUUUCUAACUAUAUUGUUUGUAGCUGACCCCAUUUAUUUGGUUUGGUUUGGUUCAAGUUAGGAGGACAGAAACUAAGUGGGGCUAACCACUUCAGGUGCCACUUGUGCUAGGAGGGACAUACUCCUGCACAUAGAAGUUACCGCAGGGGUCAGGUUACUUUCUUCAAGGCGCAGACCUCAGUGCUGGAUCCUUAUUGUGGAAACAAGCCAAACCAAAAUGAACUCUGGAAAACCUAAAACGAAUGUACCUUUUACUCUGUGUAAAUGACUGUGGUCCAAAGGGUAAUAUCAAUCUGAUCCUUACUUUGUCUUCUUUGUAUUUAUGCUGAAUAAUCCUUUUGCAUUUUCAGAAUUUAUGCCUGUGAGAAACUUAUAUUUGCUCUGUAAAAUAAGUGUAAAGAAUUAUAUGUGCAUUUCUUGAUUUUGUGAUUAAAUAUUAAAAAGGUUGAGCAAGUUGCUGAAAAUUCA